CCCGUGUCUAAAUGAUGAAAAAAAUGUUGGUAGGGACAUCUGAGUCAAGUUGAGGAAAUGCCAACUUUUCUGACUACACGGG
ensembl:snoRNA small nucleolar RNA SNORD74